GCAGUGUCUCGAGGUCACUGCUCAGGAGGGGUUUGUCAGGAGGGAGAUAUACGGAUGCGAUGACGAUCGGCUGG